GUGAGCGUAGCCCAGUGGUUAAGGCGCCAGGUUGUGGCCCUGGAGAUCGUGGGUUCAAAUCCCACCGUUCACCCCA
rnacentral:tRNA from 2 species